GUGAGGAAUAUUGGUCAAUGGGCGGAAGCCUGAACCAGCCAAGUAGCGUGAAGGAUGACUGCCCUAUGGGUUGUAAACUUCUUUUAUAAGGGAAUAAAUGUGGGUACGCGUACCCGUUUGCAUGUACCUUAUGAAUAAGGAUCGGCUAACUCCGUGCCAGCAGCCGCGGUAAUACGGAGGAUCCGAGCGUUAUCCGGAUUUAUUGGGUUUAAAGGGAGCGUAGGCGGGCGCUUAAGUCAGCUGUGAAAGUUUGGGGCUCAACCUUAAAAUUGCAGUUGAUACUGGGUGCCUUGAGUGCAGUAUAGGCAGGCGGAAUUCGUGGUGUAGCGGUGAAAUGCUUAGAUAUCACGAAGAACUCCUAUUGCGAAGGCAGCUUGCUGGAGUGUAACUGACGCUGAUGCUCGAAAGUGUGGGUAUCAAACAGGAUUAGAAACCCUAGUAGUCC
rnacentral:rRNA from 1 species